CGGAGCGUAGCGCAGCCCGGUAGCGCACUUGACUGGGGGUCAAGGGGUCGUGGGUUCGUUAUACGGGAUCGU
rnacentral:tRNA from 1 species